GCAUCGCGUGACAGGGACUUCCGGCCCCUCGCCCGCGUUUUUUGCGGUUCUUGGGGAUCCCUGGCGCAGCGUUGAGACGCGCAUGACAGAACGGAGCAGGCAUGGCGAGAGCCAUGCUCACAGCCGAGACGCGGGCUAGCGGCUCGGCGACGUUGCCGGUGCUGCUCUGCGCCGGGGCCCGGACAGGCACCGCCCGCCCGGGUGUCCGCUCCGCCCAUGGAGUCCGAUGGCGACGGCCGCGCGCAGGGACCCGGCUGAGGGGCUUGUCUGUGCUUCCUGUAUCAGGACCAUGGACACUGCUUCUUGCCCCAGCUCCCCAAGUAUGUGCUGUGGCUGGUAAGGCUGAGGUGGUUGGUGUGGAGGAGACCACGAGGAGGAGCAUUUCUGUAGGCGUGCCACAGGUGAGGACUCCAAGGCAGGUGUGUCUGCCCAGAAGGCCUGCUCCUAGGAGAUACGAAGCCUCGUCUCGAGGGACAUUUAUGUGCACCAGGGAGCACAUACCACGCGGAGGCUGUACACCCAUGGGGCAGGUGGGCAGUGAAUGUUUUAUUGCAGACCUCCUGUAG
rnacentral:lncRNA from 1 species